AUGAAGAGAAGCAAAAAAAAACAUUAGCUUGCCGUAUAGAAUGCAGUUGUACAUUCGUGUCACUUUUCAGAAGCUGUUUAAAGGAUUUAUCUGGCUCAUGUGUUAUAUUAGCUCUUAAAGGGAAGGACAAUGCAUCUUUAACGGGAGGUGGCAGCAAAGAGCUAGCGUAACUGGCUUGUUGGGCGACCGGUUACAUUCAUUGGAGCUGAACUCUUCACAAAGAAUAACGUCUGAUGGAGAGAAGGAAGACCCCCAGAUUCCCUGCACAACAUAGUCAAAGCUCCUUGUAGAACAAAGUUCAUAAUCACCAAGUAACUGAGG